AUUUCCGUUGGGCCUUGCGGUUGAGUUUCUCUGUAAAUCUAUUUGCCCUAAAGGAGAAAGAACAAGAAGCAUCAACAGACUGAUAUUUUACCACACAAGAGGUGUUCUCUCCUGUGCUUUCUGCACAUAUGCAUCAUAACACUGUCCCUGUUCAGCUGCCCAGACUGUUGGCUGCCUGAUCUCGUUAUCAAAGGAGAGCAAACACCUGUGCCCUGGGGACCAUGGCAAUCAAUGACAUGGUCCCAGGGAUCCCUGCAGAGCCCAAAGGUCAUGCAUAGUUGAUUUGAGGCUGGGAAAUUCUCAGAAGAAAGUGAAGAGAAUAACAUUGUUCACUAACUCAUACUUUUUGUCUCCUGAGCCCCAGCUAUAGUUCUGUCCUACAGUAUGGUACACAACGCAUCCUCCCUUUAAGGAGCUUCUCGGCACUUAGACAUUUUUUCCAUUCUUUAUUAAAGUAUUUAUGAUAUCU